rnacentral:piRNA from 1 species
UAGUUCCAUCCAUUUGCCUAAGAAUUUCAUG